CUGCUGCCUCCCGUAGGAGUCUGGUCCGUGUCUCAGUACCAGUGUGGGGGACCUUCCUCUCAGAACCCCUACGCAUCGUCGCCUCGGUGGGCCGUUACCCCGCCGACUAGCUAAUGCGACGCAUGGCCAUCCUAUGCCGGAGUCGCCUCCUUUGACCCCCAAGAAGAUGUCUCCUAAAGGUGUUAUGCGGUAUUAGACGGAAUUUCUUCCGCUUAUCCCCCUGCAUAGGGCAGGUUCCAUACGUGUUACUCACCCGUGCGCCGG
rnacentral:rRNA from 1 species